UACGGAGGGUGCAAGCGUUGUUCGGAUUUACUGGGCGUGAAGCGCGCGCAGGUGGGUGUACAAGUCGGAAGUGAAAUCUUGAGGCUCAACCUCGAGGCUGCUCCCGAAACUGUACGCCUAGGGACUGGUAGAGGCUGGUAGAAUUCCCGGUGUAGCGGUGGAAUGCGUAGAGAUCGGGAAGAAUACCUGUGGCGAAGGCGGCCAGCUGGGCCAGAUCCGACACUGAGGCGCGAAAGCGUGGGGAGCAAACAGG
rnacentral:rRNA from 1 species